rnacentral:rRNA from 1 species
GACGAACGCUGGCGGCGUGCUUAACACAUGCAAGUCGAACGGAAAGGCCCUGCUUUUGUGGGGUGCUCGAGUGGCGAACGGGUGAGUAACACGUGAGUAACCUGCCCUUGGCUUUGGGAUAACUUCAGGAAACUGGGGCUAAUACCGGAUAGGAGCUCCUGCUGCAUGGUGGGGGUUGGAAAGUUUCGGCGGUUGGGGAUGGACUCGCGGCUUAUCAGCUUGUUGGUGGGGUAGUGGCUUACCAAGGCUUUGACGGGUAGCCGGCCUGAGAGGGUGACCGGCGACAUUGGGACUGAGAUACGGCCCAGACUCCUACGGGAGGCAGCAGUGGGGAAUAUUGCACAAUGGGCGGAAGCCUGAUGCAGCAACGCCGCGUGCGGGAUGACGGCCUUCGGGUUGUAAACCGCUUUCGCCUGUGACGAAGCGUGAGUGACGGUAAUGGGUAAAGAAGCACCGGCUAACUACGUG